rnacentral:rRNA from 1 species
UACGUAGGGGGCUAGCGUUGUCCGGAAUCAUUGGGCGUAAAGCGCGUGUAGGCGGUCCGGUAAGUCCGCUGUGAAAGUCGGGGGCUCAACCCUCGGAUGCCGGUGGAUACUGUCGGGCUUGAGUACGGAAGAGGCGAGUGGAAUUCCUGGUGUAGCGGUGAAAUGCGCAGAUAUCAGGAGGAACACCAAUUGCGAAGGCAGCUCGCUGGGACGUUACUGACGCUGUGACGCGAAAGCGUGGGGAGCAAACAGG